CGUCUGCCAAAUGUCAUGAAUGUAAAUGCAUUACGGAAGUGCUUAUAAAAACAAAAAGCAAGCAUCUCCAUCUCAUAGUCAAGAGAAGUGAUGAAGUUACUCACUGCUGCUCCAGGACUUCAGCAGAGACUUAAUGCUGAUUUCAAAGAACCCUGAGUCCUGCUGGCUGGCCAUGUCGUGUUUGGCUGUCCCGUGAAGAGUGGGCAUUCUUUUGAUGCUCCGCUUUGUGUGUGUGUGUGUGUGUAUGUGUAUGUAUUUGCCCCCCUGCCUGCUGCAGCCAGGCCGUGAGCAGGCAGGUGGUGUACGCUGCUCUCUCUGCCUGAAAGUGAUGCGAUAAAGCAAUGCUGCUGCUGACCAGAAUACACACCGCUCCAGCUCUCCCCUUCCUCCUUUCCCUCCCUCUUUCUCUUUGUCUCUCUCUCUCUCGCAGAGGCAGGUUGGUUUUAAAUACUCUUGCUGGAUCAGACACUGCUUGGAGACCGGGAAUGCAGUGAGGAGAAAUCCUCUUAGCCAGAGUGGCUAAUUAUAACCUCUGUUCUCAUCUCAGAGAGGGACUCUUACUAUCAGAACUGUCUGGCCCAGGACAUGUAGCAUCCAGGCUGUUCAGGGCUAUCUCUGUUCAUCCAAACCCCAAAGGGAAAAGAACUAAUUAAUGGCGCUCAGAUUUUUAGCCCAAUCAGUGGGUUUUCUUGUUAAAAAAAAAAAAAAAAAAAAAAAAAAAGGCUGUCUUUUGUAACAGCAUCAUCAGAAAUGAUCACAACAUAAAGCAACUAAAGUGAUGACACACCACUAGAUAAAGCAGACUGACAAAUUAAAGGAAAAACUGAUGACUCUCUUAGGCUGUGGGGGGGCAUUUAUUUUUGUCAGCAUGAUUUGGCACGCCUUUGAGAGAAGAGUCAUUGCAAAUCAAUACAACGUUCUUCUGAUGACCUUUAUCCUAUGAUAAAACAUUUCUAUCCUGACGGCGGCGAUCUCUUCCAGGAUGACUCCGCCCCCAUACACAGGGCACGAGGGUUCACUAAAUGGUUUGUUGAGGAUGAAAAGAAUGCAAAUUAUAAGCUGUGGACUUCACAGUCACUUUAUCUCGACCCUACGUUAUACCUUUUGGAGAUUUUGGUGUGACAUGGCUGUCCCAAAACCUUACUAACACACUGUAUGUUGUAUUUUCCUUUAGUUUGUCACCAGUCUGUGUAAUACUGUAGGUCAUGUAUAUUCAUUUGACAUUUAUAUCCAAUGCAACUGGCUCUCUGCCAGUCCUGGGAUUUGAACUCACAACCUUCAGGGAUUUUGAACUCACUAACAUGUCACUAGUGCAGAACGGGAAAUGCAUAACAAUCAUACAUUCGUUCAUCUUCAGGAACCAUUUAAUACUGGUCAGGGAUGUAGAACCUGGAGCCCAUCCCUGUAAUACUAAGCACAAGCUGGGAAUACACCCUGGAUGUUACACCAAUCCACUGCAAGACACCAGGCACAUACACAAUCUCACACUCAUUCACAUCUAACGGAAGUGACCUUAUCGGUGUGUACCCCAGCUAACGGAAGUGACCUUAUCGGUGUGUACCCCAGCUAACAGGAGUGACCUUAUCGGUGUGUACCCCAGCUAAUAGAAGUGACCUUAUCAGCGUAGUGGUAAAUGUAACACUGAUGCUUUUAAUAUGACCUGUUGAUGCAUUUAGCGCAGUCAGCAAUCUGAACCUUCUCUGGUGCCUCAGUGAGAGAUCAGCUGUCUGUCUGUCCUCAA